UACGUAGGGGGCGAGCGUUGCCCGGAUUUACUGGGCGUAAAGCGCACGUAGGCGGCUCCGUAAGUCUGGUGUGAAAUCUCCCGGCUCAACCGGGAGGCUGCACUGGAUACUACGGGGCUCGAGGGCAGGAGAGGAGAUUGGAAUUCCCGGUGUAGCGGUGAAAUGCAUUGAUAUCGGGAGGAACACCAGUGGCGAAGGCGGAUCUCUGGCCUGCUUCUGACGCUGAGGUGCGAAAGCUGGGGGAGCGAAAGGG
rnacentral:rRNA from 1 species